GGUCCAGGGAACACUGAACCAAAAUUUUGGUGGGUAUUGCCAGACUUCCUGCAAAGGGGCUGCACCAUUUCUCCCUUGUGAGAUGCUGUUCCACGUGGAGACAUCACCAUAGAAACGUCUGCAGAGACCAACAGAUCUCCCUAUGUAAACUAUACAAAGAGACAAACCUGGAGGAAUAGACCUUCAGAAGAGGAGGAGUGAGAACACCAGCUUUGCAGAUGGAGCUACAGCCUGGAGGGGCUCAGUAUGCUUCCACAGCCGAUGCCCACUCCUCAAAAAAAUCAGUAACAAGAAGACCCUUGGGGAAGAAGAAGGAGCAUUGCAAAAAAUAUAAGAAGAAUAACGUUAUUUUGUAUGGAAUUCUUCUGUGGUUGUGCAACUGCCUGUACCAGUGUCUAAUUCAUAGUAGGUGCUCAGUAACUAAUGAAUGAAUACAUGUGAUAUAAUCUGAUGACUAGACCGUACCCUGAGCAUUCUUAGAACAGAAGUUUUCUCUUCUUCGUUUAGCUUUGUUUUUUCUCUCCUGUCUCUUUUAUUAUUUGCAUGUGCAUGCCCUUUGGACACCCACUUCCCAUCAAAAUGUCAUGGAAAAAUUCUGUGAAGCUUGCUUGCAGGGUCAAACUGAUGUCAAAGGGAGGUGCUGGGAGAGACAAGUGAUAAAAAUAGCCCAGCUGAGGUCCCCACCUGUUUCUCCUGCUGUAACGCUGCGCUCUAGGCAAUAUUUCUUGAUUGUGUCUGUUGCCAUCUGCUUCAGUAUCAUCUGGGUGGUUUGUCAAAAAUUCCAAUUCCCAGGCCACAGCCCAAAGAGGCUGACUCAGUGCUUCUGGGAGGGGGACGUGAUGUGGUUCCUCCACACAACCAAGCUUGAGAACCUCUCUUCUAGAGGGAGGUGAGCCAAUAGUCUUUGAUCCCCAGUCCCCAAAAUCAGAAAGAAUGGAAAAUUUUGAAAACUGUAAGUUUUUCCUAACUCAUUUGGGGUGCACUCUAGGUAGGACCCACAAAGUGCCAUGAAGACACAUAUGAUCCUUUUUUAUUGCAUGUAAUGUGCACAUUCACACACUUUACUGAAGAGAGGUUUAGAAUGUGUUUGGUUAGAAGGUGUUGCCGUAACCCCACCAGGAAUGUCAUGGGAUGUAUGGUAUACGCACUGAAUUGCCUUUCUGACGUGCAAACACUUUUUGAACUCAGAGACACAUAUGGUCUCAAGGGGUUCAGAUAAAGGGCACUUGGAUUAGGUUCUCAUGUCCCAUCCGUAGGCGGUGUUUGAAGCUGUUAUAUUUGGGUCUGACAAUAAUAAGAAAGCCUAAUAGAAAGAUGGCUGCAUGGAGACCCAGGAGACUUCCUUUCUGGGCCUCCAUUCUCUCUCCUGAAAAUGAGAGAGGAGAUGGUAUUGAAGGCCUUUUGACUCUAAAACUGUGAUUUUCACACCUUCUUGCUCUUGCAAAUGUUGAGGCAUGACUGCCACAAAGAUUCGAUUGUGGUCUUAUGAUUUUUGCUGGGAAAAUCUAAAAAAGCCAAAACUUUUCUUGGUCUUUUGGGCUUGGAGACAGAUUCUUGAAUUAUGACAUGUCUCUCAGCAGUAUGAAAAGGCAUUCAUCCAAAUUCUGUAGACGUUUUGAUACAUUACUGCACUCAGCAAAGCUGUAGGAAACUACUAGAAGGCAGACGCAGUCAUGAACUCUGGAGAGCGCUAUGGAACACAGUGGAAGAAAGUUUGACUUAUGUUAGUUAGAGGGCGAGGGAAGAGAUAGAUCUGACAGCGUCUCCGUUACCAGCUGCUCCCAGAGCAGGUUUCAUCCAAAGGGCAGCAAAUGGGUUUUUAGCAGAAUCCUAGGGAUCCCUAAGCCCACGUGAGUAGGGUCUCUCUAGCCCUCAUUGCAGUCAUUGAAGUUUAAAUGAUCAUCCUAGGACCCUAUGAAAACCAGCAAGAUUUAGAAAAAUCUGAAAAAAAACCCAAAACCCUCAUACAACGCAAAAUAAAACAAAGUAACAUGAUCUGAGUUUGUUCUAUCGGAACCAAUGGACUAAAUUGUGUCUCCCUAAAACAUACAUGUUGAAGUCCUAACCCCCCAGUACCUCAGAAUGUGAACUUAUUUGGAGACAAGGUCUUCAUAGAGGCAUUGAUGUUAAAAUGAGGUCUUUAACCUCAUUAUUGGAUGACGGGCGUCCUUAUAUGAAAGGGAAAUCUGUACGCACGUGUGCAGGGAGAACAUUGUGAGAACAAGAAGGUGGCCAUCUAUAAGCCAAGGAGAGAGGCCCCGCGAAAUGACGCACACUGCUUAGUCCCCGGGCAGAGGGAGGCCUCAGUAACUCUCUAGUGUGCAUUGUAGCACUCAUUUCAUUCCUGGCUUGGUUUAUGCCCCAUUCUUUGUUUUCCAUUUGUUUCCUUUUCUAGUUUUGUCUUCUAGUUUUACUGUACUGCACUGGAUAUUUAUAAGCUUUUAGAUUUAGAGAUGAUAUAAAUUAGUAAGUAAAUACUGUCUUGCCUGAGCACACUUAGCUCAUACAUGGUUGGUAUGAAACAAUUCGAUGGCAACAGACAGCGCUCCUAUAACUACUGGGGAAGGAACUGUGAGAGAUGGGAAGGUUUAGUGUCACAGAACCACUGAUUUCUGCACUCUGGACAAGAGUUCUUUAGGCAAUGUGUCAUUUUAAAGCGGUGCUUGGGUAGCCAAAAAAUCAGGGCUGUCUUCAACUCUUCAUGAUACAGAACAGGGGGAAGAGAACAACAUUUCUAGAUGAAGGAAUUUUAUGAAGUAUGUCCAUAAGUCAAGCAAAAAGAAUGAUCGUUUCCUGAGUACCUGCUCCAUAGCUAGGACUGUGCUAGACACUUGUGCAGGCGAUCAUUUAACCCUGGCAAUAACUGCAUAAGGAGAUCUAUCUCGCUUCCUACUUAAUACUGAAAAAUACCUAGCUCAGAGAGGUAAAGUAACUUGUUUAAGAGCAGGCAAUUAGUAAAACGUUGUGCAGAGAUUUUUUUAAGACUUUUCUUUUUUUUUUUUAAAAGAUUUUAUUUAUUUAUUUGAGAGAGAGCGCGCAGAGGGAGAGUGAGAGGGGGAUGCAGAUUCCCUGCCGAGCAGGGAGCCCAAUGUG